rnacentral:rRNA from 1 species
GCAUAACGCGAAGAACCUUACCAAGGCUUGACAUAUAGCAGAACGCUCUAGAAAUAGAGAACUCUUUGGACACUGUUAUACAGGUGGUGCAUGGUUGUCGUCAGCUCGUGUCGUGAGAUGUUCGGUUAAGUCCGGCAACGAGCGCAACCCUCGUCCUAUGUUGCCAGCGGUUCGGCCGGGAACUCAUGGGAUACUGCCGUGGUCAACACGGAGGAAGGUGGGGAUGACGUCAAAUCAUCAUGCCCCUUAUGUCUUGGGCUUCACGCAUGCUACAAUGGCCGGUACAAAGGGCGGCGAUACCGUAAGGUGGAGCGAAUCCCAAAAAGCCGGUCUCAGUUCGGAUUGGGGUCUGCAACUCGACCCCAUGAAGUCGGAGUCGCUAGUAAUCGCAGAUCAGCAACGCUGCGGUGAAUACGUUCCCGGGUCUUGUACACACCG